rfam:Oryza glaberrima chromosome 9 Oglab09_0169_31, whole genome shotgun sequence.
AAAGACCGAAUUCUACGGUUUUUGUGUUCAACGUUUGACUGUCCGUCUUAUAUAAAAAUUUUUUAUGAUUAGUAUUUUCAUUAUUGUUAGAUGAUAAAACAUGAAUAAUACUUUAUGCAUGACUUAUCUUUUAAAAUUUUUUUAUAAUUUUUUUAAUAAGACGAACGGUCAAAUGUUAGACACGGAAACCCAGGAAUUGAGUUUUU